GCUCCAAUAGCGUAUAUUUAAGUUGCUGCAGUUAAAAAGCUCGUAGUUGGAUUUCGGGUGGGGCCUGCCGGUCCGCCGUUUCGGUGUGCACUGGUCGGGCCACCUUGUUGCCGGGGACGGGCUCCUGGGCUUCACUGUCCGGGACUCGGAGUCGGCGAAGACACUUUGAGCAAAAUAGAGUGUUCAAGCAGGCCUACGCU
rnacentral:rRNA from 1 species